rnacentral:rRNA from 1 species
UACAGAGGGUGCAAGCGUUAAUCGGAAUUACUGGGCGUAAAGCGUGCGUAGACGGUUAUGUAAGUCAGGUGUGAAAGCCCCGGGCUCAACCUGGGAAUUGCAUUUGAGACUGCAUAGCUAGGGUGCGGAAGAGGGAAGCGGAAUUUCCGGUGUAGCGGUGAAAUGCGUAGAUAUCGGAAGGAACACCAGUGGCGAAAGCGGCUUCCUGGUCCAGCACAGACGUUCAGGCACGAAAGCCAGGGGAGCGAACGGG